rnacentral:rRNA from 1 species
CACGAACCGUACGAACGUUAUUCGGAAUUACUGGGCUUAAAGGGUUUGUAGGCGGCCUUGUAAGUCAGGUGUGAAAGCCCUCGGCUCAACCGAGGAACAGCGCUUGAUACUGCAAGGCUUGAGGGAGACAGGGGUAAGCGGAACUGAUGGUGGAGCGGUGAAAUGCGUUGAUAUCGGAAGGAACACCUGUGGCGAAAGCGAUGCACUGGACCUCUUCUGACGCUGAGGCGCGAAAGCCAGGGGAGCGAACGGG